rnacentral:rRNA from 1 species
CCUACGGGUGGCAGCAGUGAGGAAUAUUGGUCAAUGGGCGCGAGCCUGAACCAGCCAAGUCGCGUGAGGGAGGACGGCCCUACGGGUUGUAAACCUCUUUUGCCGGGGAGCAACGGGCGUCACGUGUGGCGCCACUGAGAGUACCCGGAGAAAAAGCAUCGGCUAACUACGUGCCAGCAGCCGCGGUACUACGGAGGAUGCGAGCGUUAUCCGGAUUUAGUGGGUUUAAAGGGUGCGUAGGCGGAUCGUUAAGUCAGUGGUCAAAUUGAGGGUCUCAACCCCUUCCCGCCAUUGAAACUGGCGUUCUUGAGUGGAAGAGAAGUAUGCGGAAUGCGUGGUGUAGCGGUGAAAUGCAUAGAUAUCACGCAGAACCCCGAUUGCGAAGGCAGCAUGCCGGCUUCCGACUGACGCUGAAGCACGAAAGCGUGGGGAUCGAACAGGAUUAGAUACCCCAGUAGUC